UCUUAUGGAUGAACAAAGAAAGUUGGUUUCUUGAUAUAUAAUCUAUUCCUGGUGAAAAUGCUGUGAA
rnacentral:pre_miRNA from 6 species